rnacentral:misc_RNA from 1 species
GUUUAAUAUUGCCGAAUUCAAAAACCAAUCAGUCUCACGCAAAUCCAGUCUUAAUACAUAGAAAGAGUCUUAAACAGGGAAGCAUUGAACAUAAACAGAGUACCAUUGGAACCCUAAACACACCACCAAUACUACAUCUACUUUAUUUAUAUUAUUUACUUUAAAAUGAAAGCUGGCGCUGGUUCUGAUGGUGGCUCACCAGGUCAUCCAGCAUCCACAGGUCCACCGACUCACUUGUCUCACAGCUGCUUUCACUCAGCUGAGCCACCAUCUGCUCGGGCUCCAAUCCCAGAAACGUUUCUAGGCUUGAGAUUUGUUCUUUCAGCUCAUAAUCACUCCCCAAUUCUUUUUGAUAUCCGAGGCCAAGACCCAUGUAUGUUUGCGGUGCUGGUACGCUGCAGGUUUGGAAGGUAGCAGGAGACAUCUCAGGAGCGAUGAGGCACCUUUUCUUGGAUGAUGGUUGUAGUGGUGGUGGUGACUGCCCAAAAUUGAGCUUAGCCUUGUCACCACGGAUGCGCUUGGCUGCCUCAUCGUAGGCUCGGGCUGCUUCUUCAGCUGUAUUAUAAGUACCGAGCCAGACACGGACACCCUUGUGUGGGUCUCUGAUCUCAGCAGCCCAUUUCCCCCAUGGCCUUUGCCUUAUUCCUCUGUAAAUAUUCUUGCGAAUUCUCCGAGUCUUGUUCCCUUCCAUUACAGUGGCAGUCUUCUCAGAAUUCUCACGGCUGGUGGCCACUAAAAUCGUAGAAAGAACAUUUAAACUAUCUCUUAAAUAUUUAAUUAUUUUGAUCAGAGAAAGCAAAAAAUAAUAAUCAUGCAAGAAAACCAAAGGCACAUACGCUUACCCAUUAACCAGAUGAAAUAGAAAAAUGUUACCUUGCUUGAGCUGCAGCUUUAGCUUUGGCCUUUCAGGGAGUUUAAGAUCCAACUGGAUAGAUAUCUGCUCUUUAUUGGCAUUAUUAGGGUAGUCCAAGCUAAGAAAGUCAGAGAAGGGGUCAAGCUCCGACCAGAGAUCCACGGCAGCCAUUCGCCGGCUGCGUUUCACGGCAACGAAAUCAGAGAUAAUAGCACCACCACACAUGUUUCCAAAAGAAAAGAAAUGUAUUCAUUCAAGUGAG